rnacentral:rRNA from 1 species
GAUGAACGCUGGCGGCGUGCCUAAUACAUGCAAGUCGAGCGAACAGAUAAGGGGCAUGCUCCUUUGAGGUUAGCGGCGGACGGGUGAGUAACAUGGGGGUAAAAUAGCUAUAAGACUGGAAUAACUCUGGGAAACCGGGGCUAAUGCGGGAUAACAUUUAGAAUCGCAUGGUUCUAAAGUGAAAGAUGGUUUUGCUAUCACUUAUAGAUGGACCCGCGCCGUAUUAGCUAGUUGGUAAGGUAACGGCUUACCAAGGCAAGGAUCCGUAGCCGCCCUGAGAGGGUGGUCCGCUACACUGGCACUGAGACACGGUCCAGACUCCUACGGGAGGACGCAGUACGGAAUCUUACGCCAUGGACGAAUGCCUGACGUAGCACAGCCGCGUGAGUGCUGAAGGUCUUCGGCUCGUAAAACUAUGUUAUUAGGGAAGAACAAAUGUGUUAGUAACUGUGCACGUCUUGACGGUACCUAAUCAGAAAGCCACGGCUAACUACGUG